CCUACGGGUGGCAGCAGUGGGGAAUCUUGCACAAUGGGGGAAACCCUGAUGCCGCGACGCCGCGUGAGUGAAGAAGUAAUUCGUUACGUAAAGCUCUAUCAGCAGGGAAGAAACACUGACCUUACGGUCAGCAGACGGUACCUGAGUAAGAAGCCCCGGCUAACUACGUGCCAGCAGCCGCGGUAAUCCGUAGGGGGCAAGCGUUAUCCGGUUUUACUGGGGGUAAAGGGAGCGUAGACGGUGCGCCAAGUUUGGAGUGAAAUUCCGCGGCUUAACUGCGGAACUGUGUGGGAAACUGGCGAACGAGAGUGCGGGAGGGGUGAGCGGAAUUACUAGUGUAGCGGUGAAAUGCGUAGAUAUUAGGAGGAACACCGGUGGCGAAGGCGGCUUACUGGACCGUAACUGACGUUGAGGCUCGAAAGCGUGGGGAGCAAACAGGAUUAGAUACCCGUGUAGUC
rnacentral:rRNA from 1 species